rnacentral:rRNA from 1 species
CCUACGGGAGGCAGCAGUGAGGAAUAUUGGUCAAUGGACGAGCGUCUGAACCAGCCAAGUAGCGUGAAGGAUGACUGCCCUAUGGGUUGUAAACUUCUUUUAUAAAGGAAUAAAACGAGCCACGUGUGCCUUUUUGCCUGCACUUUAUGACUAAGGAUCGCCUACCUCCGUGCCAGCAGCCGCGGUAAUACGGAGGGUCCGAGCGUUAUUCGGAUUGAUUGGGUUUACAGGGAGCGUAGCUGGGUCGUUAAGUCAGUUGUGAAAGUUUGCGGCACAACCGUGAAAUUGCAAUUGAUACUGGCAGUCUUGAGUGCAGUUGAGGUAGGCGGAAGUGGUGGUGUAGCGGUGAAAUGCUUAGAUAUCACGAAGAACCCC